rnacentral:rRNA from 1 species
GAUGAACGCUGGCGGCGUGCCUAAUACAUGCAAGUCGAGCGAACAGAUGAGGAGCUUGCUCCUCUGACGUUAGCGGCGGACGGGUGAGUAACACGUGGAUAACCUACCUAUAAGACUGGGAUAACUUCGGGAAACCGGAGCUAAUACCGGAUAAUAUAUUGAACCGCAUGGUUCAAUAGUGAAAGACGGUUUUGCUGUCACUUAUAGAUGGAUCCGCGCCGCAUGAGCUAGUUGGUAAGGUAACGGCUUACCAAGGCAACGAUGCGUAGCCGACCUGAGAGGGUGUUCGGCCACACUGGAACUACGACACGGUCCAGACUCCUACGGGAGGCAGCAGUAGGGAAUCUUCCGCAAUGGGCGAAAGCCUGACGGAGCAACGCCGCGUGAGUGAUGAAGGUCUUCGGAUCGUAAAACUCUGUUAUUAGGGAAGAACAAAUGUGUAAGUAACUAUGCACGUCUUGACGGUACCUAAUCAGAAAGCCACGGCUAACUACGUG